UUCCAAAAUGUUCACUGUUUC
rnacentral:piRNA from 1 species